rnacentral:rRNA from 1 species
CUUGACAUGGCAGGAAUCCCCGAGAGAUCGGGGAGUGCUCGAAAGAGAACCUGCACACAGGUGCUGCAUGGCUGUCGUCAGCUCGUGUCGUGAGAUGUUGGGUUAAGUCCCGCAACGAGCGCAACCCUUGUCAUUAGUUGCUACGAAAGGGCACUCUAAUGAGACUGCCGGUGACAAACCGGAGGAAGGUGGGGAUGACGUCAAGUCCUCAUGGCCCUUAUGGGUAG